rnacentral:rRNA from 1 species
GAUCUUGGUCAGGAUGAACGCUAGCGACAGGCUUAACACAUGCAAGUCGAGGGGCAUCACGGGAGUAGCAAUACAACGUGGUGGCGACCGGCGCACGGGUGAGUAACGCGUAUGCAACCUACCUAUCAGAGGGGAAUAACCCGGCGAAAGUCGGACUAAUACCGCAUAAACAGGGGCACCGCAUGGUGAUAUUUGUUAAAGAAAUUCGCUGAUAGAUGGGCAUGCGUUCCAUUAGGUAGUUGGUGAGGUAACGGCUCACCAAGCCGACGAUGGAUAGGGGAACUGAGAGGUUGGUCCCCCACACUGGUACUGAGACACGGACCAGACUCCUACGGGAGGCAGCAGUGAGGAAUAUUGGUCAAUGGGCGGGAGCCUGAACCAGCCAAGUCGCGUGAAGGAAGAAGGAUCUAUGGUUCGUAAACUUCUUUUGCAGGGGAAUAAAGUGCAGGACGUGUCCUGUUUUGUAUGUACCCUGAGAAUAAGGAUCGGCUAACUCCGUGCCAGCCGCCGC